GUAGGAUUAUUUUAAUUAGAAUUUUGGUAUUACGGUUCAUAGGUAAAUUUUAUGUUUAUUCUAUU
rnacentral:tRNA from 1 species